UCGGAUCGGAGUCUGNAACCCGACUCCGUGAAGCUGGAUUCGCUAGUAAUCGCGCAUCGGCCAUGGCGCGGUGAAUACGUUCCCGGGCCUUGUACACACCGCCCGUCAAGCCAUGGAAGCCGGGGGUGCCUGAAGUGUGCAGCCGCAAGGAGCGCCCUAAGGUAAAACCGGUGACUGGGCUAAGUCGUAACAAGGUAGC
rnacentral:rRNA from 1 species